GACGAACGCUGGCGGCGUGCUUAACACAUGCAAGUCGAACGGAAAGGCCUGCUUUCCCUUGUGGAUUGCGGGUACUCGAGUGGCGAACGGGUGAGUAACACGUGAGUGAUCUGCCCCCAACUUGGGUAUAAGCCUGGGAAACUGGGUCUAAUUCCCGAUAGGACUGCAGGGUGGUGCCUGUGGUGGAAAACGAUUUUCUAGUGGUUGGGGAUGAGCUCGCGGCCUAUCAGCUUGUUGGUGGGGUAAUGGCCUACCAAGGUGGCGACGGGUAGCCGGCCUGAGAGGGUGGACGGCCACAUUGGGACUGAGAUACGGCCCAGACUCCUACGGGAGGCAGCAGUGGGGAAUAUUGCACAAUGGGCGGAAGCCUGAUGCAGCGACGCCGCGUGGGGGAUGACGGCCUUCGGGUUGUAAACUCCUUUCGACCGCGAGGAAGCCACCUGGUUGGAAGGGUGGUGACGGUAGUGGUAGAAGAAGCACCGGCUAACUACGU
rnacentral:rRNA from 1 species